rnacentral:lncRNA from 1 species
UUUAUAAGCAUCUGGACUUUACAUUCAUUAUUGAUUCAAUAAUUCUUUUAUUUUUUUAAUAGUGUACACUUCAAACCAUGAGAUUUUAUCAGCAAAUAUGGCUUUCACAGACAUUAACAUAAAUUAAAUUAUGUCUCAAUAACAGAAUAAAAUUAUUUAAUUGUGGCAUUUCAAUUUUAACUACACAUAUACUUAAAUACAAUUUUAAAAAUCAGUAUCUCAUCAGACUUCAGAUAAAAGCAGUUUUUAUUUUACUGACUGGAAUACUUUCUAAAGUGUUGCCCAUUUUUAGUUGGAAUCAUUUACUGACAUACACUUAAAACACUCCUCCUCAAAUUAGGUAUCUUUAUUCUGACUAUCAAAAACUUUCUAGUAGGUUGUUUUUUGUGGGAAAUAAGACAGACUGUUUUAUAAGUAUUAACUGUGCAUGAGAACAUUUGUAAUAUCACCCUUGGAGAAUAAUAAACAGAUACUAGAGAUUGAAAUUCUGACAUAGUUUACAGAACAAUAAUCCAAACAUCUGUUAUAAUGACAAGGGAUUUGAACAGAAAAGAGAGUACAUGGGAAAGCUACGCUACUUUUAGUACAGUUAUAACGUUAAAUCAAAGCAUUGCAGCUCAAGGCAGCUUGCUGCUAAUAUAAACAAUUUUCUACAUAUUCCUGGGCCACAAGCCAGAUCUCAGGAUUCAGUUACAAGCACAAGGUCAAGAGGGAAUCAACAGUAUGAAAUUACUGCCUAUGAAUCAAAAGAAUAAAUGGAUAAUUAAAUAUGAAAACAAAUUAGAAGGUAUAUUCUCAUUUAACUCAUCAAAUGAAUUUGUCGGGUAACUUUACGUAUGAAAUUUGUUGCAGAAUCAGUAGAAGCUUUAAUGUAUUUAUUCAUUAAAUCUGAGUUAUUAGCAUUUCCUUGAGUCAGGCUCACCAUAUCAUUUUUUCCAACAUAUUUGAAUCCAUAGGAGAAUCCAACCUCUAAUCAUAAUCAUGAAGAUAAAUCUCUAGUCUUAACUUUAUCCAUAGAAGAAAGGAAAUGAUGCUGAAGAAUUUUACACGAAUGAUGAAAGCAAGUUUCCUUAAACCUGAACUCCUCAGAGACAAUGUUGCAUGGAGAGAUUUGUGUUCCAGGUAUUACAUGAUCUAAAACCCAAUUCAACUUUUGUUAAUAUCAGUGCUAUCUCAGCCACAUCAUUUAGCCCCUCUGCAUUCUAGCUUCCCGGAAAAUUCAGAUUGCAUUAGAGAGAGUCUGAGAAGCUCUCUGGAAUCAAAGAAUACAUGCACAAAAACAAACCUGUGGCAUAUUUUAUUUAUAUAUAUAGACAUAGAUAUAUAUAGAUAUAUAGAUAUAUAUGUAAAAUAAUAAAAGGAUGACAGUGCAUCACGUCUUUGAAAUUAAAGUUUCUAAUGAAUUUUUCAAUCUAAUUAUAUAUUUGUAUUCUGAUAUGAAUAAAAAUAAUAUAAUCAGAUACUGGCUAGAGUUAUUUUGUUUUUGGUGAAUGGCUGGCUGAAUUCCUUUUUUUAAUGGAGAGAUAUAUUUAUAAAUUCUACUUCACAUUUGAAAGAAAGGAAAAUAGUUGAAAAUAAAUGAUAGUAAACAUUGAGGGAAGAAAGAGGAAUAAUAUGGUUUUCUUUUUAUCCUUUUAAAAAGAAAAGUAAAAUUGUUUUGGGAUCAAAACCUGUGAAUUUCCUCUUCCCAGUACAUAUUUUUGAAGGCUCCAGAGGGUGUGUGGAGAUAAUCUAUGAAAGACGGCAGUUUUAGGGCCUGAAAUAAGAAAUUGAAGAGUCAGAACUUACCAUAGAGAAUAUUCCACAUGGGAUCUUUGGAUUGGUAUAAAGUUUUAAGUAUGCCAUCAGGUUAAACAUUAUCCUCCUAAAUUAUUCUAAAUGGAGCCCAUCUAAACUCCCUUCAGAAGGUUCACAAAAUGUAAGACAACAAAUUUCUAAAGUUAAAUGGUGGCUUAAAAUUCCUCUGAAAUGUUGAAAAACUAAAAAAAGGAUGAUUUUCUAGUCUUAGUAAAGAUAAACACAUGUCAACAUUUCCCUCUCACUGAGUGCAAGUAUCAAACAUCCUCAAAUUGCUUGAGCAGCAUUUGAGGAUACUGCAAAGUAAAUAUCAGCAGGCAGCAGAGGGAAGAACAGUAAAGAGGGAAGUAACAUAAAACAAUUUAUUUUUUUCCUCCAUUAUUUAUUGGCCUGAAUGCAAUGCAUUACAAAACUCAGUAGUGAGCACUAUGGUUCAGACUCAGAAAGAUCAAGGAGAAAGCUCUAGCUCUGAUUUAAGGAGCAGAAAAGGAAAUUCCUUAAGUUAGAAAGUGGGGAAAAUCUCUUCUUUUUUUCACUCUUGUAUUGCACUCAUUACCCAGGUUGCACUGCAGCUGAAACUUUCUCUUUGGUGGAGUUUCAUCUCAAAGAGGGUAGUGCUAAAUUGUUUGAUUUUUCCCCCUUCUCCCUCUGCCCUCCUGCCAUGUAACCCUGAAGGCAGUACAAUCACAGAAGAGUGCAGUUUCCGACCAGAAAACCACAAAGUGAAACUCCGUGGACUGGAAAGUACCAAGUGAUAUUACAGAAAAGAAAUAUCUUGGGAAAUAUAAUUGCAUUUAUUAGUUCCUGGGUUAGCCCCUGACUGAUGCAAAAAUGAACUUAAUCCUAAUUAACCUAUAGUAGGCUUUAAGAAAUAUGUUAAGAAAUAGAUCUCUCUUUAGGUUUCAGACUGACCAAUGGGCUAUGCAUAUGCAAAAUAAAAAUGAUAGUUCUGCAAAAGCCACUUGAUCUUAGGGUAACACUGACUUCAUAAAACUUGUUAAGAAAUGUUUCUUCUGCUUCCAUUUUCUGAAAGAAAUGGAAUUUCUUCCUUGAAUGUAUAAUUAACUAGUUAAAUCACCUUAGUCUGGUAAUUUCUUUUUUAGAAGUUAUUAAUUAUGUAUUAAUAUUAUUUUAAAUUUUCUUAUGUUUUAUAACCCAGAACAUGGACUAUUUUUGUGCAUGUUCCAUAUGAACUUGAGAGUAAUGUAUAUUCUGCUUUUGUUGAGUGAAACACUGUGUAAAUGUCAUUGAGAUCAAGGCUGUUGAUAACACUUUUCCAGUUAUCAUAUCCUUGGCGAUAUGCUGCCACUUGAGCUGUAAGUUACCGGAAAAGUGUGUUUAAGUCUUUAAUUAUCCUAUUGAAUUUGUAUACUUAUUCUUUUAAUUCUAUCAGUUUUGCCACAUGCAUUUUGACACUCUAUUAUGUGCAGACGUUUAUAAAAUCUUUAUGUGGUUUUAGAAGGUGACUUUGACAUUAUGUAACGCUUGCCUUUAUCUUUGGUAAUCUUCCUUGUUUUGAAGUUGUCUUUGUCUGAAAUUACUGUAUAGCUACUCCAGCGUAUAUUUACUUGGUGUUAUUCUGCUAUAUUUUUGUCCAUCUCUCUUCUUUUUACCUAAUGGAGUCUAUAUUUGAAGUGAAUUUACUUUAUGCAGUGUACUCUUGUCUCUGUUUUUUUUUUUUUUGUUAUUGUUGGUCACUCAUUUAACUUCCAUCUUUUAAUUGGUAUAUUUGCAUCAUUUAUAUUCUAAAUUGUAUCUGAUGUUUAGUCACUGCAUUUGUUCCCUGUUUUUCCCUCUUUCUGCCAUCUAUGAUAUUAACUAAGCAUCUUAUAUGAAUGACUCCAUUUUAAUUUCUUGUCAGUCUAUAUCAACUAUACUUUAAAAAAUUUAGUUAUUGCUCUAGAGUUUACAAUAUACAUUUUAAAUGAAUCUAAGUCAAUUUUCAAAAAUAGCUAUACACCUUCACAGGUAGUACAGGUAACUCAGAGCAUUCUCAGUCUUCCCUGACAUCCUUUGUGACAUUGUUGUCAUGCAUCUUACUUAUCCGUAGCCUACAAUUACUCACUAUAUUGUUACCAUAAUUACUUUAAGCAAGCAGAUUUUUUUUAGAUCAAAUGAAAAAUGAGGUUUUGUUUCACCUUCAUUUAUUACUUCUCCAACCCUCUUCUUUUUUAUGUAGAUUCAAGUUUAAAUCUGUGUGGUUUCCCUUCAUCAUAAAAAACUUCUUUUAAUUUUUCUUACAAGAUUGGUCUGCUGAGACAUUCCCUCAGUUUUGUUUCUCUGUGAAAAAUCUUUAUGUGUCUAUUUUGAAAGAUAGUUUUGCUGGAUAUAGAAAUUUAGAUUGAUUAGUUGGGUUUUUAUCAACAUUUUAAAUAUUCGAUGCUUCUUUCUUCUUUCUUAAAUGGUUUCUGAGAAGAGGUCCCUUAAUUAUUAUUCCAGUUGUCUAUAGUCAAGGCAUUCUACUUCAACCUUAAGCAUCCUUCAAAAUUUUCUUUGUUAUGUGUUUUCUGAAGAUUGACUAUAAAUGCUUAGGUCUUCAUUCUUGGGAAAGGAGGAGAAUUUAUUCUACUUGAGGUUCUCUGAUAUUCUUGGAUCUGUGUGUGUGUGUGUGUGUGUGUGUGUGUGUGUGCAUGUGUGUUUUUUUUAAAUCUGGAUGAAUGUUAAAAAGUUCUCAGCUAUUAUGACUUCAAAUAUUUCUUCUGCUUCAUUUUCUCUUUCUACAUCUUCUGAUAUUACAAUUUCAGUUAUGUUAAAACUUUUGAAAUUGUACUUCAGUUCUUGGAUCAUUUGUCAAAAUUGUUACUUAGAGUUUUCACAGUGAAGCUUAUGGCUUUUGCUUCAUUUGAGCUCCUCUCAUCUGCUAUAUCUCUGUGGAUGUACCUUUCCAAACAGAUUUCAAGUAGUCAUUUACCUUAUGAUCUCAAUUUUCUGAUGGGUCAGAAAAGUCAUUUUUUCUCAGUUUGUCUAGUUUUUCUUAUUGUAAAGGUAAGAGUGAUGAUAACCUCUAAGCUCUUCACUUGGUAAGAAAUAAAACUGGGAAUUCCUUCUCUGUUUUUCUUUUUCUCUCAUAUUUAUCACAAUCUAAUAAGAUGUGGAUUUGAUUGAUUGAUUGACUGUCUUUUUCUCCAAAUUGACAUGUAAGCUUCAUGUAAGCAAGAGUUUUCAUCUUUUAAAAAUAUUUUUAUUGAUAUAUUUUACAUUUUAGAACAGUAUCAAAUCCUGGGUAUUAUACAGUAAUAUUUCUUGAUUUAAUGAGUUCAUGUUGGUUAUUUAAAAAUUAUAGACAGAAACUCUAAGGUGGUCAAAAACACUACUUCUAAUUAAUCUCCUCUUAGUAUUUCCUUUAUAUGUCUUUCUGUUCCUAUAACACUUCUAUUUAAUGGCAACAAACCAAAGUAAUGCUAAACAUUCACAGAAAUAUUGGUUUGAUGGUGGCUAUUUCUGUGAUAACUGAUUUCAAGGAUGAGAAUUAAUUCUUAUCUCACAUACCAAUUUAGUAGAUUAGUAAUAGUUGCUUAGAAACCAGAUUUUAAGCUCAAUGGAAAAAAGUUUCCUAAUCAAUGAGAUUAAUUUUUCUACUCAGUAGAAAGAAGAGCUGUAGUACUUGCUCUGUAUGUGCCAUCUCUGGCCAGUGGCACAGAAAUCAAUCAUUUUUAAAUAGGUGGUAAAAUGGUUUCCAUAGGCUGCUCUUGACUGUACUUUUCUGAUUCAGUCUAAGUCCCCAAAAUAUGUAUAUAAUUUAUCUAUUAAUAAUAUAUAAUUAUUUAUUUACACAAAUAACUUCGAGUUCAUUUUAGUCCUUUCUAAUGAAGUAAAACUCCUUUAAUUUCCAGUAGCUUAUAAUAUGUCUACUAAGGCAAGUUACCUUAGUUCAGCCUACUUAUCUUGUGUGCUCUGUUAGCUUAUAUUAGAUUUUUCCAUUUGAGUUAUAUUUCUAUAAGUCUUAUUAUAUCAGAUUCACUAGGUUUAAAUAUAGUCCAUUUGAAAUUUAUUUGCUUUCUGGGAAUUCAGAUUCAUAUAAAGAGGCUGGAAUUGAGCACCUUCAUUUUAGGCUAUAGGAACUUUCAAUAAUUGACAAUCUGGAGUUAUCAGAAUAUUGCCACUUGGGGAGUUCCCAUUGUGGCUCAGUUGUAACUAGCCUGACUAGUAUCCAUGAGGAGGUGGGUUUGAUCCCUGGCCUCACUGCUCAUUGGAUUAAGGAUCUAGUGUUGCCAUGAAUUGUGGUGUUAAGUCACAGAUGUGGCUCAGAUACCACAUUGCUGUGGCUGUGGUAUAGGCUUGCAG